rnacentral:tmRNA from 1 species
GGGGGCGUAUCUGGGAUUCGACGGGGAUAGUUGGAGUAGGAGUAGCGAGCUGCGGGGCUAGGGCCGCAUGAACAACCUGGAAUUUAAAUUAAACGCAGAUAAUAAUAAUUACGCUUUAGCAGCUGCUUAAAGCUGCUAAAUGCCUACCAUAGAGUGCCCACAAUCUAUGGCUAGGUAUCAAAUAAAGUGGGGAACGAACCUGGUAAAGCUUUGAACCAGGCCGGAAUCUAUGAAGCUAGCGUAGCAUGAAUCCUGUUGCUUGGAGCCAUGUGAGGCGAAUCAUAAAAAAGCAACUGCGCUCGGAGAAGCUUUUGCCAAGACAUCUUCGGACAGGAGUUCGACUCUCCUCGCCUCCACCA